CCUACGGGAGGCAGCAGUGGGGAAUUUUGGACAAUGGGGGCAACCCUGAUCCAGCCAUCCCGCGUGUGCGAUGAAGGCCUUCGGGUUGUAAAGCACUUUUGGCAGGAAAGAAACGGCGCCAGCUAAUACCUGGCGCUAAUGACGGUACCUGCAGAAUAAGCACCGGCUAACUACGUGCCAGCAGCCGCGGUAAU
rnacentral:rRNA from 1 species